GAUGAACGCUGGCGGCGUGCCUAAUACAUGCAAGUCGAACGAACAGAUAAGGAGCUUGCUCCUUUGACGUUAGCGGCGGACGGGUGAGUAACACGUGGGUAACCUAUCUAUAAGACUGGAAUAACUCCGGGAAACCGGGGCUAAUGCCGGAUAACAUGUUGAACCGCAGGGUUCUACAGUGAAAGGCGGAUUUGCUUUCACUUAUAGAUGGACCCGCGCCGUAGUAGCUAGUUGGUGAGGGAACGGCUAACCAAGGCAACGAUACGUAGCCGACCUCAGAGGGUGAUCGGCCACACUGGAACUGAGACACGGUCCAGACUCCUACGGGAGGCAGCAGUAGGGAAUCUUCCGCAAGGGGCGAAAGCCUGACGGAGCAACGCCGCGUGAGUGAUGAAGGUCUUCGGAUCGUAAAACUCUGUUAUUAGGGAAGAACAAAUGCGUAAGUAACUGUGCGCGUCUUGACGGUACCUAAUCAGAAAGCCCCGGCUAACUACGUG
rnacentral:rRNA from 1 species